GGAUGUAGUUCAGUGGUAAAGUGCUUGCCUGGCAUACAUGAGGCCCUGGGUUCGAUCCCCAACACCA
rnacentral:tRNA from 1 species